GCGGAUGUAGCCAAGUGGAUCAAGGUAGUGGAUUGUGAAUCCACCAUGCACGGGUUCAAUUCCCGUCGUUCGCC
rnacentral:tRNA from 1 species